UACGGGGGGGGCAAGCGUUGUUCGGAAUUACUGGGCGUAAAGGGCUCGUAGGCGGCCAACUAAGUCAGACGUGAAAUCCCUCGGCUUAACCGGGGAACUGCGUCUGAUACUGGAUGGCUUGAGAUUGGGAGAGGGAUGCGGAAUUCCAGGUGUAGCGGUGAAAUGCGUAGAUAUCUGGAGGAACACCGGUGGCGAAGGCGGCAUCCUGGACUAACACUGACGCUGAGGGAGCGAAAGCCAGGGGAGCAAACGGG
rnacentral:rRNA from 1 species